rnacentral:tRNA from 1 species
GAGGGUAUAGCUCAGCAGUAGAGAGCAAGGGUUAGCAUACCCAAGGUCCUGGGUUCAACCCCAGUACCUCCU